ensembl:lncRNA
UAGAAGUUCAGGAAUCCCACGUGACGUCACCGGGGGGGUGAUGUAAUGCACUCUAAAUAGAAUGUAUUGUAAUCUUUGCUCAGUCCAACGUGGUCCCUUCACCCGGGCUCCGCUCUUGCCUUCUCCACACUUGUUUGAGACCUGGCAAGGUGCGGAACCCUUCAGAAGUGCGGUCAAGCGGCGGCAGAGGCGGCAGCAGCGGAGACGGCGAGACAGGAACCUCCCCCCCGCGUCCCCAACUUCCCGGUGAUGCGGCGGAAUCCCCGGAGAAAGUUUGCAAACUUCCAGCGGGCGCGGCGAGGACGCCGGGUCACCUAGGGGGCGGACCGGCGGGCGCACUGGGGGCUAGCUUCCUCCCGGGCCCCAAGCCUGCUGCUGCCACCUCUUGCAGGGCUGCCCACCGCAGGUGGUGGGCGCGCGCGCCGGGGAAUGAGGGGGCAUCGCUCUCGGGGGGCACUUGCCUUUCACUGCAGGCGUGGAAUGCUCGACAGUGGCGAGGCUCUCCUUGUCUUCACUCCUACAGCCACCUCCUGCCUCUGUCCGGUUCUCACUGGCAUCAUUACCUCUUCCCCGCCGCUGCCCCAAAUGACAGCUCCCGCCUUCGACGCGGCUGUAGUUCUCAGAACACCGCGGCGGAGCCUUCCUCGCCACCAGAUUCUACACGGAAUAGCUCAAAACUUUUCACGACGUUCUUAGAGGGGCAAGACUCGCGAAGGAACCAAGGAGAUGUUUUUCCUGGCGGCUGCAUCCCUCUUUUCCUUUGCCAUAGAUUUAUUUCGGGGGUGGGGGGUGAGUAUCUGGUAGAUAAAGAUCUUGUCCACCCCAACUUUCCCUGAACAAGUGCCGCCCCCACUUGAGACUUGUUCAAGGCCGGGAACUGAAGUGGGCUACUUGUAUAUUUCGUUGUCAGAGUCUACAGAGGGUUUGGUUUUUAUUUUUCCCUCCUUCUCUGACAUGUGUCAAGGAAUAAAGGCUGGAUACAGGUCCAUUACGUCAUUCUGCAGACCAAUAAGUGUUUGAUUAACAGCUUCAGAUACUCAAGGGUUGGGGGCCUUAGAAGUGCUGACAAGGCAAGGCUUUCCAUCCCCAACCCCCAACAUACUUGUACAAUCGCUGAUUCCCUGAGCAUCGUUAUUGCCCUCUCCUCCCGGAUCCCUCCUUCUCCACCCGCUCAACCGCCCACACCGUUAUCACUCUGGCCCCGCCUCCGCCUUUGACUGCUUUCCCUGGGGCGAUCACAGUCCCUGGAGUGUGGGUAAGAGCUUCUGGUGGCCCAGGGAGCGCAGUACCUGAUCGACGCACACACAAUCUGCUCUUUUCUAUUAUUUAAGAAAGGCACCAGUGAACCCUCUUCUCCAGGGCAAACUGCUCAACUCUGAUAGAAAAGGCGUCUCAGGAAAUGUUUAGAGACACUCUGAUAGUACUGUGUCCCUGUGGUGACUUAGGAAAACAACACACUCAUUGCAAGCAAAGUUCUUAACUUUACAGAGCGCAUUCCUCAGACAGACCGGUUAUCCGAAGAGGGAUGGCUGAGAAUGCCGACUAAAUCAAAUUUAGCUGGAAAGCUCGAGAUUAAACGUUUUAUUUCCAAAGUGAGGGAAUGUAAGUCGUUGAACUCAAAAUAUCUUACAAUAAAGUGGUGCAUGUGUUACUUUUUUUCUCUUAACAUUAACUUUCUGUAUUUCAAUAGAAAGUUAAAUACAUAAGUCAUUGAAUUGAGUCAGAAUCCCCGUAACUGGCAGUUGAAUAAAAAUACUGUAUAUGACAUGUUUAAGGGAUAAAAGUAAAAAGAAC